AAUACAAAACUCACAUUUAUUAUUGACACUGUGAUAAUUUAAUUUACAAAUAUAUUCUGACUUUCCAACUUUAAGGCAAUAGCUUAAGUUAAAUACAUUGUUCUCUUCUUCAUCUCUUUCAAGCCCCCCAAACAAUCAAACAAACAACACUGAAAAACUUGGUCUGCAACAGCAAUGGAGAUUCUGAAACACAGACUUUUCAAAGUAAAAGAAAUUUUAGCAGCUCAAUCCAGUCUCUGUAUAAUACUAUGCAGCAUAAAUACCACUUGACCUUGAAGCUUACAGCAUGUUUUAAUGAGUUUCAAAAUCUUUUUUCACAGUUUCUGUGUGGCGAGUGUUACCCGGCCUUCUCAGUGCUGAGGGAUGUUCUAAUAUGCAGGUCCACUUGAUUUUAUG
rnacentral:lncRNA from 1 species